GCAGGGUAGCUACGUUCGGAAGGGAUAAGUGCUGAAAGCAUCUAAGCACGAAGCCCACCUCAAGAUGAGAUUUCCUUUAAGGGUCGUUGGAGACUACGACGUUGAUAGGCUGCAGGUGUAAAGGCGGUGACGCCAAAGCCGAGCAGUACUAAUGGCCCGACGACUUCCAGCC
rnacentral:rRNA from 1 species